rnacentral:rRNA from 1 species
AGUGAACGCUGGCGGCGUGCCUAACACAUGCAAGUCGAGCGGAGUCGAUCGACGGAAGCCUUCGGGCGGAAGAUGGUUGACUUAGCGGCGGAUGGGUGAGUAACGCGUGGGCAACCUGCCUCGAAGACCGGGAUAACAGCCCGAAAGGGCUGCUAAUACCGGAUGUGGUCAAGGAUCCGCAUGGAUUUUUGAUUAAAGGGGAAACCCGUUUCGAGAUGGGCCCGCGUCCUAUCAGCUAGUUGGUGAGGUAAAAGCUCACCAAGGCGACGACGGGUAGCCGGCCUGAGAGGGUGACCGGCCACACUGGAACUGAGACACGGCCCAGACUCCUACGGGAGGCAGCAGUGGGGAAUCUUAGACAAUGGGGGAAACCCUGAUCUAGCCAUGCCGCGUGAUCGAUGAAGGCCUUAGGGUUGUAAAGAUCUUUCAGAUGGGAAGAUAAUGACGGUACCAUCAGAAGAAGCCCCGGCUAACUCCGUGCCAGCAGCCGCCGGUAAAGAGUAGUACA